CACCAUCAGUUUGUUUAUAGGCUGCAAAAUCAUGGUUUGGAUUUGCGUACUCCACAAACUGCAAAUUCAGAAGCUCUUAUGAUUCUUGCAAAAUCUGAAGAGAUCCCAACCAUUAUUCAAAUACAAAGGCAAAGACUGUAUCAUCAUUUGGCUCUUCUUAUUCAGAAAACAAGUGUUCAACUUGCGGACAGUGAUGUCACAGACAUAGCACUGCUCAUCAUCUCCUACAUUAUUAAAAUUUCUAUAUUUUGAACUAGAACUUUGAUUAGUUCGUUCUCUCUCGAUAUAACUCAAAAUUAUGCAUAUGAUAUAUCAUUGGAAAGCUCUCUGAAUUAUCUUUCAAAUGAUAUGAAAGUUUAGAAAACUAAGUAUUGUAUCAUGGAUUAGGAUUUUUGUUUUCUCAUAACUUAGGCCACAUAGAUUUCUGCAUUUAAUCCACAUAUAUUCAUGUGAUUUUAAACCAAAAAUCGAGGCCUAACAAUUAUUGAUUUAGUACAUACCAUUGAAGUGUGUUCUAGAUGUGAAAACAUAUAUAUCAUUAAAGAACAUGGCAUGUUUCAUGCAAAUACAUUCAAAACAUAACCCUCAUUGGCUCUGAUUUUUGUAUAUAUUUCAGCAUACAAAAUUAAUGGGAGAUCUAAGAGCAUGCCUUUUGAUCCCUAGAUGCAAAAGGAUCAUAACGAGGUUAAGUCAUUGUAGACACAGAGGAUAAUCUCAUGGAAAAUCCUCAUGCCACUCUAUGCAUAUGAUCAGAGGAUAAUCAUAAUAAAAGAAAAUCCCCCCAUAUCACAUUGUAAGAGCUCGUUGCCUUUUCUCUCUCUCGUUUUCACUCUCUGUAUUUUCUAAUAUGUUCUACGUAUUUUUUUUUUAUCUCUCACACACUUGUAUUUUAGAUAGAGUAGGUGUGCUUAUAUAGAAGCUAAAAAGAGUGAUUGAAGUUAACCAAAAGACUUCGUAACUCU
rnacentral:lncRNA from 1 species